rnacentral:rRNA from 5 species
CCGAAUGGGGAAACCCAGUGUGAUUCGUCACACUAUCAUUAACUGAAUCCAUAGGUUAAUGAGGCGAACCGGGGGAACUGAAACAUCUAAGUACCCCGAGGAAAAGAAAUCAACCGAGAUUCCCCCAGUAGCGGCGAGCGAACGGGGAGGAGCCCAGAGCCUGAAUCAGCAUGUGUGUUAGUGGAAGCGUCUGGAAAGGUGCGCGAUACAGGGUGACAGCCCCGUACACAAAAGCGCAUGUGCUGUGAGCUCGAUGAGUAGGGCGGGACACGUGGUAUCCUGUCUGAAUAUGGGGGGACCAUCCUCCAAGGCUAAAUACUCCUGACUGACCGAUAGUGAACCAGUACCGUGAGGGAAAGGCGAAAAGAACCCCGGCGAGGGGAGUGAAAAAGAACCUGAAACCGUGUACGUACAAGCAGUGGGAGC